rnacentral:rRNA from 1 species
GAUGAACGCUGGCGGCGUGCCUAAUACAUGCAAGUCGAGCGAACAGAUAAGGAGCUUGCUCCUUUGACGUUAGCGGCGGACGGGUGAGUAACACGUGGGUAACCUACCUAUAAGACUGGGAUAACUUCGUGAAACCGGAGCUAAUACCGGAUAAUAUUUCGAACCGCAUGGUUCGAUAGUGGAAGAUGGUUUUGCUAUCACUUAUAGAUGGACCCGCGUCGUAUUAGCUAGUUGGUAAGGUAACGGCUUACCAAGGCGACGAUACGUAGCCGACCUGAGAUGGUGAUCGGCCACACUGGAACUGAGACACGGUCCAGACUCCUACGGGAUGCAGCAGUAGGGAAUCUUCCGCGAUGGGCGAAAGCCUGACGGAGCAACGCCGCUUGAGUGAUGAAGGUCUUCGGAUCGUAAAACUCUGUUAUUAGGGAAGAACAUACGUGUAAGUAACUGUGCACGUCUUGACGGUACCUAAUCAGAAAGCCACGGCUAACUACGUG